rnacentral:rRNA from 1 species
GAUGAACGCUGGCGGCAUGCCUAAUACAUGCAAGUCGAACGAGAGGAAGGAAAGCUUGCUUUCCUGAGUCUAGUGGCGAACGGGUGAGUAACACGUAGGUAACCUGCCCAUGUGCCCGGGAUAACUUCUGGAAACGGAUGCUAAAACCGGAUAGGUAGCAGACAAGCAUUUGACUGCUAUUAAAGUGGCCUUGGCCAUGAACAUGGAUGGACCUGCGGUGCAUUAGCUGGUUGGUGAGGUAACGGCCCACCAAGGCGACGAUGCAUAGCCGGGCUGAGAGGGCGGACGGCCACAUUGGGACUGAGACACGGCCCAAACUCCUACGGGAGGCAGCAGUAGGGAAUUUUCGUCAAUGGGGGGAACCCUGAACGAGCAAUGCCGCGUGAGUGAGGGAGGUCUUCGGAUCGUAAAGCUCUGUUGUAAGAGAAAAACGACAUUCAUAGGGAAUGAUGAGUGAGUGAUGGUAUCUUACCAGAAAGUCACGGCUAACUACGUGCCAGCCGCCGCCGUAA